AUUGAACGCUGUCGUCAGGCCUAACACAUGCAAGUCGAGCGAGCGGCGGACGGGUAAGUAAUGUCUGGGAAACUGCCUGAUGGAGGGGGAUAACUACUGGAAACGGUAGCUAAUACCGCAUACCAUCAGACGUGCCCAGAUGGGAUUAGCUAGUAGGUGGGGUAACGGCUCACCCAGGCGACGGUCCCUAGCUGGUCUGAGUGGAUGACCAGCCACACUGGAACUAAGACACGGUCCAGACUCCUACGGGAGGCAGCAGGGGGGAAGAUUGCACAAUGGGCGCAAGCCUGAUGCAGCCAUGCCGCGUGUGUGAAGAAGGACUUCGGGUUGUAAAGCACUUUAAGCGGGGAGGCGUUACCCGCAGAAGAAGCACCGGAUAACUCCGUGCCAGCAGCCGCGGUAAUUC
rnacentral:rRNA from 1 species